UACAGAGGGGGCAAGCGUUGUUCGGAAUUACUGGGCGUAAAGGGCGCGUAGGCGGCCGCCUAAGUCAGACGUGAAAUCCCUCGGCUCAACCGGGGAACUGCGUCUGAUACUGGGUGGCUUGAAUUCGGGAGAGGGAUGCGGAAUUCCAGGUGUAGCGGUGAAAUGCGUAGAUAUCUGGAGGAACACCGGUGGCGAAGGCGGCAUUCUGGACCGAUAUUGACGCUGAGGAGCGAAAGCCAGGGGAGCAAACGGG
rnacentral:rRNA from 1 species